ACUUAAGCUCCUGAAUCAAACACGCAACAAGCGCUCUCUCUAUAUAUGAAAAACACAACUAAAAAGAAAAUAAAAAUUAUCAUAGCUUCUGAGUUUUAAAUCAACAUAGAUUUUGAAUCAUUCACCGUCCCUCGCCACCGCAUCGUCGUCCCUCGCCGCCGUGUUCAAAAACCGCGGUAAAUUUAAAUUUUGAUGGAUUCCAAUAAUUGGAGACCUAAUCAAAGUGCUGAAAAUAAUAUGGAUUCUAGUGAUUGGAGAGGUCAACUGCAGCCAGAAUCACGGCAAAGAGUUGUCAACAAAAUAAUGGACACAUUAAAAAGACAUCUUCCUGAUUCUGGUCAAGAGGGAUUGUUUGAACUUUGGAAGAUUGCUCAAAGGUUUGAAGAGAAGAUUUUUACUGCUGCAACAAGCCAGCCUGAUUAUCUAUGGAAAAUAUCUUUGAAGAUGCUAACAAUGGAGAUUAAAUCCCACGGCACUCUGGCCAACAAUAUACCAUCAAAUCAAGGUGGCCCAAGCAAUAAACCUCCUGUUCCAGUUAAUUUAAAUUUGAUGAAUUCCAAUAAUUGGAGACUUAAUCAAGGUGCUGAACCUAAUAUGGAUUCUAGUGAUUGGAGAGGUCAACUGCAGCCUGAAUCACGACAAAGAGUUGUCAACAAAAUAAUGGACACAUUAAAAAGACAUCUUCCUGAUUCUGGUCAAGAGGGAUUGUUCGAACUUCGGAAGAUUGCUCAAAGGUUUGAAGAGAAGAUUUUUACUGCUGCAACAAGCCAGCCUGAUUAUCUACGGAAAAUAUCUUUGAAGAUGCUAACAAUGGACACUAAAUCCCAGGGCACUAUGACCAACAAUAUACCAUCAAAUCAAGGUGGCCCAAGCAAUAGACCUCCUUAUCCACGUUAGCAUUUAAGAGUCUUGGCCCUUGGCAUGGUGAUAGUAUUCUGAGAGUAUUUAAGAAGAUUGGUCAGCAGGGCUGUCAAACACCAUUGGUGUGAAGAUGGGAGUUUAAGGAUGGUUGUCGGUCUCCCGUAGCUCCAGAAGGCAACAGUUAUCGGCUGCAGAAGUCAUAAUGUUGUCGCAGCUAGUUUUCUGAUGCUUAUCUUUUAAGUUGUUGGCUUCAAUAAGUAUACCAAGAAGUGCUACCUGGGAAGUUGAUAAUUUCUUUUCAACAAAGAAUGUAUUUGGCUCACAAUAUUUACCUUAUUUAUUCAUUGAAGUAUUUAAGAUUUUGAAUUGGGCAUGCCAAGGGUUUGUUCUUGAUCAUGGUAAUAAUACCAGACUGAAACGGACAGUUCAAUUGAUUGGACCUGUGCUCGGUUCAGUUAAGCUUGAGAACCGCGCUACCAUAAAACGGGACAUCUUUUAAGUGAAAAGUUCAGAGUUAUUGUGCAGGGAGGGAGCAGCACUGAUAAGGUGUAUAGUCUUCGUUCAUGGGGGCUUGUCAACUCAGUUAUCUAUUAAAUGUUUUUGGAUUAGUUCAUGUAAUUUAUUAUCAGACCUUGGUUUAUGUGGCCUCAAUUUAAUAAAAAUUGUCCACAAAUGUCACACUUAGGAACAUCUUUGAGAAGUAGGGGAGUACAAAUUGAGUAA